UACGUAGGGUGCGAGCGUUAAUCGGAAUUACUGGGCGUAAAGGGCUCGUAGGUGGCCAACUAAGUCGGACGUGAAAUCCCUCAGCUUAACUGGGGAACUGCGUCCGAUACUGGAUGGCUUGAGUUUGGGAGAGGGAUGCGGAAUUCCAGGUGUAGCGGUGAAAUGCGUAGAUAUCUGGAGGAACACCGGUGGCGAAGGCGGCAUCCUGGACCAACACUGACACUGAGGAGCGAAAGCCAGGGGAGCAAACGGG
rnacentral:rRNA from 1 species